CAGAUUACCAGUAACACAUUUAUCUUGAUGGACCAGCUCCCGUGUUUUGGACCAGUUUCACUAUGACUGGACCAAGCUUACAUUACUCCUUCUGGGGUCCUAAAGUCAAGUUCACAGACAAAUAAAGAGUGUUUUGAUAUCCUGUUUGCUGCUGAACAGGAGACUCGAGGCUGAAAUCAAAGCUGAUCCAGUUCAGGAGCUGAAUUGCUUUCUUCAUGUGGAUGGGCGGCACCUCCGGCUGCAGGAAGCAGCACAGCACAUCCCUCCCUGGCAGCAGAUGGUCUGGCCGGGUCCCUCACAGCUCUUUGGCCCUCUGUGAGUCCUUCUGCACUUCAGCCUCCUUUGCUCUGAGGCCUCCUGAAGUGAGACGUUUCUCGGUGACGAGGAGGCAGUGGUGGCUGCUGAUGGUCUUUAUAUCCACACACACCUUUCAGAGUGCCCUCCGGUGCCUUCGUGCAGUGAAUUCUGGACCAGUGCAUGCCAAGCAGUAUCUCUGAUCUAGAGUCCUACAUCUUGGGCAGCUUUGGGCAUGGGUACCUUUUCAACUCAGGACCUACAGGAACGAGGCAACAACCAAGCAGUCUGAGAGGUGGCCGCCUCACCACUGGACCAGCUCUGUAAGUGAUGCAUCAGCUUUUAUUCCCCCCAGCCUACCCACAUUAGCUGUUUCUGAUCCUUCCUCCCGCUGGUGAGAAGGAAGCAUCUCGUG
rnacentral:lncRNA from 1 species